ensembl:lncRNA
GGGGACUGGAGGUCUGGAGACUUGGGCUGUUGGGGGUACUGGAGGACUGGAGUUGGGCUGUUGGGGGGGGGACUGGAGGACUGGAGUGAGGCUGUUGAGGGUACUGGAGGACCAGAGUUGAGCUGUUGGGGGUACUGGAGGACUGGAGUUGGGCUGUUGGGGGGACUGGAGUAGGGAAACACUGGUAUAGGGGAUAGGGUGUCAGUUCAGACACAUUAUAUUACUAGGCUGGAUCUUCCACAUGCAGAUAACUUAGUUUGAGGAGAGAGUGUGUUCAUGGACUAAUUGCACUUGAAAAUAUAUAAAUUACAACACUACUCAUUCAGUUGUGGGCAGAAGACCAUAACACGCUAUAGGCCCGCAUCCUA